GAUGAAGAACGCAGCGAAAUGCGAUAAGUAAUGUGAAUUGCAGAAUUCCGUGAAUCAUCGAGUCUUUGAACGCACAUUGCGCCCCCUGGUAUUCCGGGGGGCAUGCCUGUCCGAGCGUCAUUGCUGCCCUCAAGCCCGGCUUGUGUGUUGGGUCUCGUCCCCCUUCCCGGGGGGACGGGCCCGAAAGGCAGCGGCGGCACCGCGUCCGGUCCUCGAGCGUAUGGGGCUUUGUCACCCGCUCUGUAGGCCCGGCCGGCGCUUGCCGAUCAACCAAAACUUUUUUCCAGGUUGACCUCGGAUCAGGUAGGGAUACCCGCUGAACUUAAGCAUAUCAAUAAGCGGAGGA
rnacentral:misc_RNA from 1 species